CAUAUAUAUUUAUUUAUUUAUUUAUUUAUUUUAGUCUUACAUGUCAAAAGAAUUAACAGGAUUGUAGCAGGUGUUUAGUAAGUAGAGGUUAAACCAUUCUAUUUCAGGAACUAGCAUUUAGGAAGCAUAGCACUUACUGUGCAACAAGAGCCCUCUGGCCAUCCCUGUUUUACAGGUCUUAGAGAAUGGAGGGCAGCUAGGAAGGAGCCAAAUGGGACUCCUCUCAGAUCUGCUGGAAGGCAGAGCCCUGCUCCCCGGCACAGACCACACUGCCUUCCUCCCUGGAGUGUGCAGUUGGAAGCACCAGAUGCUCUAGCAGCAUCCAGAGAGAUGCCAUCUGUGAGGGAAACCUAUUCUUAGAGAGCAGAGACAGUCGGUAGCGGAGUUGGCCAACCCCCAGCAGCAGUGGCGGGACUUCAGGAGGGCAGGCGGCCAAGGUUUCACCUUCAGCUGGGGGCAGGACAGGCUAAAAGCAGGGUGUGCUCAGUCCUCAGGGGCACACUUCCUCUACAUUUGGAUGCUCUUAGAAAUAACAGCAUUUAUUGGGGACUCACUUUAACUGUGUCAUAUUCUUUAACCCUCCACACCACUCGAUGAGGUGUGUGCUACGACAACGCCUACUUUAUCAAUGAGGAAAUAGAGGCCAGUUUUAGUUUGGGUUCCCCCAAUAGCAGACUCUAAGACAAGGGUUUGAGUGCAAGUGGUUCAUAUGGGAAGUGGUCCCAGGAAGCACUGGUAGGGGCAUGAGGAAGGGAGAUGGGGAGGGUGUUUGAGGCUCAGCCCUGCUGGGCGGCCCUGGGAGUCAGUGUGGAGCACGCACCUCUGAGUUAUCCCACCCGAGGGGUGAGGGAUGCGGGCUGUGGGAGUGGGGGUAUUUAUCAGUCAUUGGUUGAAGGUUGCUCCAAGGAUGUGUUCAUUCUCCAGCCCUUCAGGCCUGCCAGAGGCUGGCAAAGGAGGCACCAGUGACAAGCUAGAGUCCUCAGGCAGAAAGACAGAGGGGCGGCCACUGGCAAAGCUGGCUAGUGUGCACCAGAGUCGUUAUUUAGAGGAGCUAUAGGCAGGGCACCCCCACCAUCUGCUAUAAAACCUGCCUGGUGAUGGCCCAAGCCCUCUGCCCUCCCCAACCCCUAGAGCAGCAGUCCCCAACCUUUUUGGCACCAGGGACCAGUUUUGGGGAAGAUAAUUUUUCCACGGACCACUGGGGAGGGGACGUGGUUUCAGGAUGAUUCAAGCACAUUGCAUUUACUGUGGAUUUUAUUUCUAUUAUUAUUACCUUGUAAUAUAUAAUGAAAUAAUUGUACAACACACCAUAAUGUAGAAUCAGUGGGAGCCCUGAGUUUGUUUUCCAGCAACUAGACAGUCCCAUCAAGGCGUGACGGGAGACAGUGACAGAUCAUCAGGCAUUAGAUUCUCAUAAGGAGCAUGCAACCUAGAUCCCUUGCAUGCGCAGUUCACAAUAGGGUUUGCAUUCCUACGAGCAUCUAAUGCCACCACUGAUCUGACAGAAGGCAGAGCUCAGGUGGUAAUGUGAGCAGUGGGGAGUGGCUGUACAUACAGAUGAAGCUUCGCUAGCUCACCCACCUUUCAACUCCUGCUGCGUGGCCUGGUUCCGAACAGGCCAUGGACCGGUACCGGGGUUGCGGACCCCUUACUCUAGAGCUCAUUCAACCUCCACAGCAAGUUAAAGGAACUUCAUAAUUACCUACUCCAAGUUUGCAGUAAAUGUUGUGGCUGAAAACACAGCUUACAGAAUCAGACUGAUCCCACCUCAAUUACCUAAGGGCUCUGUGACUCAUUUGUCAGAUGGGAUAAUAAUGGACGGCUCCAUAUCAUUCCCCACCCCCUUGUUACUCAGAGCAGCACCACUGGCAGCACCAGGGAGCCUGGGAGAAAUGCAGACUCUCAGGCCCCACCCCAGCUCACUGAAUCAGAAGCUGCAUUUUAAUAAGGUCUCCAGUGACUCCUGCAUACAUUUCUACUAGUAACUUCUAAAAUAUAGAAAGAGUGAUGGAGUAAGUAUAUUAAUGAAAGUGUAUCUACCAGACCAAUGGUCUCAAAUUGGUAGCCCAUGGACCAGAUUUUCCUGGAGACUUGUUUGAUUUGUCCAGGAUUGUGUUUUUUUUUUUUUUUUUUUUUUUGAGACAGAGUCUUACUCUGUCACCCAGGCUGAAGUGUAAUGGAACUAUCUCGGCUCACAGCAGCCCCCCAGGUUCAAGAGAUUCUCCCACCUCAGCCUCCCAAGUAGCUGGAAUUACAGGUGCCUGCCACCAUGUCCAGCUAAUUUUUGUAUUUUUAGUAGAGACAGGAUUUCGCCAUGUUGGCCAGGCUGGUCUCGAACUCCUGACCUCAGGUGAUCCACCCGCCUCGGCCUCCCAAAGUGCUGGGAUUACAGGUGCAAGCCACCGUGCCUGGUCUAGGAUCGUGGUUUCGAAAAAAGCAGACUUGGCCAGGCAUGGUGGCUCACACCUGUAAUCCCAGCAUUUUGGGAGGCCAAGGUGGGUGGAUCAUGAGGUCAGGAGAUUGAGACCAUCCUGGCUAACACGGUGAAACCCCAUCUCUACUAAAAAUACAAAAAAUUAGCCGGGUGUGGUGGCGGGCACCUGUAGGCCCAGCUACUCCGGAGGCUGAGGCAGGAGAAUGGUGUAAGUAAACCUGGGAGGCAGAGCUUGCAGUGAGCCAAGAUCGCGCCACUGCACUCCAGCCUGGGCGAGAGAGCAAGACUCUGUCUCAAAAAAAAAAAAAAAAGAAAAAAUCAGACUGGUACACAAGUCUCCAGUUCCCUAUGUCCCCAUCACUCCUCAUCGCAUAGCACUAUGUCAUUGUAGGCCCCUAUGGGCAUUUGAAUGUGUACCCCUUUCUGGCCCAUAUCCUAUAAUGAGCUAACAUUUGCAUAGCAUGGCUUAGGUUUCUAAAUUUGAAACAAGGCACUGGAAAAAACAUGGGCUUUGAAAUCAGACGAAUCUGAGUUCAAAUCUUGAUUCGGCUGUUAUACUAGCUGUAUUACCUUGGGCAAGUUACUCUCCUCUCUGAUUCUCAGUUUCUUUUCUUUUCUUUUUUUAUUUUUUUUUUAGACACAGUCUCGCUCUGUGGCCCAGGCUGGAGUGCAGUCGUGCGAUCUCAGCUCACUGCAGCCUCUGCCUCCCAGGUUCAAGCGAUUCUCCUGCCUCAGCCUCCCCAGUAGCUGGGAUUACAGGGACGUGCCACCAUGCCUGGCUAAUUUUUGUAUUUUUAGUAGAGAUGGGGUUUUACCAUGUUGGCCAGGCUGGUCAAGAACUCCUGAUCUCAGGUUAUCUGCCUGCCUCAGCCUCCCAAAGUGCUGGGAUUACAGGCGUGAGCCACUGCACCUGGCCUGACCCUCAGUUUCUACAUCUGUAAAAUGGGGACGAAAACACACAUUUGCAAGGCCACUGUAUGGUUUAAAAAUAAUAUGUGCAGGCUAGGGGCAGUGGCUCAUGCCUGUAAUCAUGGCACUUUGGGAGACUGAGAUUACAGGAGUGAGCCACAGUGCCCAGGCUUCUUUU
rnacentral:lncRNA from 1 species